AACGUAGGAGGCAAGCGUUAUCCGGAGUUACUGGGCGUAAAGCGUGCGUAGGCGGGUUGGUAAGUGGGUGGUGAAAGCGCUCGGCUAAACCGGGCGAGUGCCAUCCAGACUGCCAGUCUAGAGGCGGAUAGAGGGGUGCGGAAUUCCGGGUGUAGUGGUGAAAUGUGUAGAGAGUCCGGAGGAACACCAGUGGUGCAAACGGCGCCCUGGGUCCGAACUGACGCUGAUGCACGAAAGCGUGGGGAGCGAACGGG
rnacentral:rRNA from 1 species